rnacentral:lncRNA from 1 species
UCGUGAAGUACCAGUGUUAGAGAAGAAAGGCAAGAAGAAGCAAGCUUCCGUAACUGUGAUACAGGGGCCAAAACCAGGUAAGCCAACUGAUUUGUCUCGUAUGCGUCAAGUGAUCACGAGACUCAAGCACAAUCCACCUUCUCAUAUGAAGCCUAAAGUACCCACAGCAUCUGAAAGUGGACCCGUGAGUGAAACGGUGUAGUCUGUGUUUGUGUUAACUUUUUCUUUGGUUUGUCUAAAGCGUGUGUUAUUUGUUAGCUUCCUCAUGUGUUCAGUCUCGAAUUUUGCUUUUUGUGUGUUACGUUUCUCUGGUUCUAGCCUUGUUGGCUUCCCACACAGUUUUCAGACUUGGAUGUAUCUAUUCUAAUAAAACAGACCAAAAUAUGUGUACGAAUGGUCCUGCCAAAAGAAGAACGGUUUGUUCACUCACCAAUAUUUAUUGUGUUACAGUUACAGCUGCAUUGCUACGUGGAGUGAACAGUUUGGUUUGAUUUCAUAUAAGUUUCAUUCAGAUUAAUAGCAACAUAAUCUAUGACACCAUUUCUUAAUCAAUCUACUAUUUCAUUUUUAAUAUUAUGUAGCCUGCAAAUAAAAACACAUAAAACGCUACCAAUUCUUCAUCAAAACACUAAAACUAUUAUGUUUUCGAGUUUAGUAGUGGCAGACAUUUGAUCCUUUUGAAUUUCAUGAAUUUCAGCAGAUUAUAGAAGCAGCAGAGCAAUACAAGGCUGAGUUCUACAGCAAGCGUAGCAUUACUAUUGAAAACAACAAGAAAACCAACCGCGAGAAAGAGAAGGUGAUUUCUCUCUCUGUAACUUGUGUUUUAAGCAUUCAAGAUUUGUGUUUGAACUUUUUGAUGAACUCUCAACCCUUUUUGAUUGACAGUUGUUUUUGGAGAGCCAAGAAAAGUUUUAUGCUGAAGCUGACAAAAACAGCUGGAAGGCGAUUGCUGAACUCAUUCCUCGUGAAGUACCAGUAUUAGAGAAGAAAGGCAAGAAGAAGCAAGCUUCUGUAACUGUGAUACAGGGGCCAAAACCAGGGAAGCCAACUGAUUUGUCUCGUAUGCGUCAAGUGAUCACGAGACUCAAGCACAAUCCACCUUCUCAUAUGAAGCCUAAAGUACCCACACCAUCUGAAGUGGACCCGUGAGUGAAACGGUGUAGUCUGUGUUUGUGUUAACUUUUUCUUUGGUUUGUCUAAAGCGUGUGUUAUUUGUUAGCUUCCUCAUGUGUUCAGUCUCGAAUUUUGC